GUUCAAGGUCAAGGCGCGAAAAAAAAGGCUCAAACUCCUAGGAGCAGAUAUAGGAGUGGGGAAAAACACGGGGAAAGUUAUCAUUUUGUGCCGAAGAAUAUUUCAGUAUUUUGGACAAUGGAGAGAUGUCACUGAGUCAGCUCAUGGACAAGAGCUUCAUGUUUCCGUAGCUGAGACAGCACUCCCCUCAGAUCUUUGGCAAUGUCAUCAGGAAUGCUUUUGUGCCUCUCCUGGUACAAGAUACGUGACAUAUAAAUCCUGCAGCUCUUCCCAUGAUUCUCUGUCAUAAAUUAGACUUCAUAUUCUGUGUUUCUCGGAUGAAGCGGCUCUCAGGAUGAUUACUUUUGAUGAGUUUGUCAGCCAGCUCUUCACAGGUGUGCAUCCUCUCC